UAUAUAUAUAUUUAAAAACAAAAGCAAAUUUUUAAUUUUUUUAAAAAAACAGCUGAUCAAUUGUAGUAGUAAUCGACUGGAAUUAUAGAAUGGUUGUGGUUAUCAUCUUCCCUUGUUGGCGCUCACUGACCUGACCAAUCCAACCAAAAACCCUAAAAUUUGCAGAAGAAUAUCC